GGAUGUGAGGGCCACCUGGCUAUGACAUCUGUCAUCCCCUUGAUAGUCAGGGUUGACUUCAAUGGUCUGGCUGGCUAGGUGGGGGUCCCCUUUCUCACUCGCUGCUCCGUAUUUGUACCCACUUGGUCAUAGAGGAAGACCUUCCCCAAUAGAGAAGGGCAGGUCUUCAGUCAAUGGUGUAUGAGUUGCUGUGCUCCCCUGCUAGAAUCUCCACACAAGCUCUCCAGAAUCACAAGGAACCUAUCUGGAAGGACUUUGAAGGUUAUAUGGGUUAUUUGUUC
rfam:Cricetulus griseus cell line CHO-K1, whole genome shotgun sequence.